ACGCUCGACACCUACGGGAGGAGCAGUGGGGAAUAUUGCACAAUGGGGGAAACCCUGAUGCAGCGACGCCGCGUGAAGGAAGAAGUAUCUCGGUAUGUAAACUUCUAUCAGCAGGGAAGAAAAUGACGGUACCUGACUAAGAAGCCCCGGCUAAUUACGUGCCAGCAGCCGCGGUAAUCUGAGGCGGGCUGGCAAGGC
rnacentral:rRNA from 1 species